rnacentral:rRNA from 1 species
UACGGAGGAGGCAAGCGUUAUCCGGAAUCAUUGGGCGUAAAGAGCGUGUAGGCGGCCAGGUAGGUCUGCUGUGAAAACUCGAGGCUCAACCUCGAGACGUCGGCGGAAACCAUCUGGCUAGAGUCCGGAAGAGGAGAGUGGAAUUCCUGGUGUAGCGGUGAAAUGCGCAGAUAUCAGGAGGAACACCGGUGGCGAAGGCGGAUCUCUGGGCCAUUACUGACGCUGAGGAGCGAAAGCGUGGGGAGCGAACAGG